AUUGAACGCUGGCGGCAAGCCUAACACAUGCAAGUCGAACGAGUGGCGGACGGGUGAGAAAUUUCCGGGAAACUGCCUGAUGGAGGGGGAUAACUACUGGAAACGGUAGCUAAUACCGCAUACCAUCGGAUUCGCCCAGAUGGGAGUAGCUAGUAGGUGGGGUAAAGGCUCACCUAGGCGACGAUCCCUAGCUGGUCUGACAGGAUGACCAGCCACACUGGAACGGAGACACGGUCCAGACUCCUACGGGAGGCAGCAGUGGGGAAUAUUGAACAAUGGGCGCAAGCCGGAAGCAGCCAUGCCGCGUGUAUGAAGAAGGCCUUCGGGUUGUAAAGCACUUUUGGCAGGAAAGCGGUACCUGCAGAAUAAGCACCGGCUAACUACGUGCCAGCAGCCGCGGUAAUAC
rnacentral:rRNA from 1 species